rnacentral:rRNA from 1 species
AGUGAACGCUGGCGGUAGGCCUAACACAUGCAAGUCGAACGGCAGCACAGGAGAGCUUGCUCUCUGGGUGGCGAGUGGCGGACGGGUGAGGAAUACAUCGGAAUCUACUCUGUCGUGGGGGAUAACGUAGGGAAACUUACGCUAAUACCGCACACGACCUACGGGUGAAAGCAGGGGACCUUCGGGCCUUGCGCGAUUGACUUAGCCGAUGUCGGAUUAGCUAGUUGGCGGGGUAAAGGCCCACCAAGGCGACGAUCCGUGGCUGGUCUGAGAGGAUGAUCAGCAACACUGGAACUGAGACACGGUCCAGACUCCUACGGGAGGCAGCAGUGGGGAAUAUUGGACAAUGGGCGCAAGCCUGAUCCAGCCAUACCGCAUGGGUGAAGAAGGCCUUCGGGUUGUAAAGCCCUCUUGUUGGGAAAGAAAUCCAGCUGGCUAAUACCCGGUUGGGAUGACGGUACCCAAGAAUAAGCACCGGCUAACUUCGUGCCAGCCGCCGCGGUAA